GACGAACGCUGGCGGCGUGCUUAACACAUGCAAGUCGAACGAAGAGCGAUGGAAGCUUGCUUCUAUCAAUCUUAGUGGCGAACGGGUGAGUAACGCGUAAUCAACCUGCCCUUCAGAGGGGGACAACAGUUGGAAACGACUGCUAAUACCGCAUACGAUCUAAUCUCGGCAUCGAGGAUAGAUGAAAGGUGGCCUCUACAUGUAAGCUAUCACCGAAGGUGGGGCUUGCGACUGAUUAGCUAGUUGGCGGGGUAACGGCCCACCAAGGCGAUGAUCAGUAGCCGGUCUGAGAUGAUGAACAGCCACAUUGGGACUGAGACACGGCCCAGACUCCUACGGGAGGCAGCAGUGGGGAAUCUUCCGCAAUGGACGAAAGUCUGACGGAGCAACGCCGCGUGAGUGAUGACGGCCUUCGGGUUGUAAAGCUCUGUUAAUCGGGACGAAAGGCCUUCUUGCGAAUAGUGAGAAGGAUUGACGGUACCGGAAGAGAAAGCCACGGCUAACUACGUG
rnacentral:rRNA from 1 species